rnacentral:rRNA from 1 species
CCGAGUUUACAACUCCCAAACCCAAUGUGAACGCUACCAAACUGUUGCCUCGGCGGGAUCUCUGCCCCGGGCGCGUCGCAGCCCCGGACCAAGGCGCCCGCCGGAGGACCAACCCAAAACUCUUAUUGUAUACCCCCUCGCGGGUUAUUUUUACUAUCUGAGCCUUCUCGGCGCCCCUCGUGGGCGUUUCGAAAAUGAAUCA